rnacentral:sRNA from 1 species
CGGAGCUGCAGUAAUUGUGGAAACAGCUUCUGCUCUCGAUGCUGCUCCUUCAAGGUGCCCAAGUCCUCCAUGGGGGCCACAGCAAAAUCCUGAAACAUUUGGUAUGUGCCGAAGAAUAGAUACGAUGUACCUGUGAAUUGUGAAGGGUAAUAACAAGAUGAAUACCUGUGACCGCUUCACUAAAGUUGAAAAACAAGAGCCUUGGCAACACCCCCGCAGCUCCCGGCACUGCUCCUGCCUUCCUGGAGUCAAUCACCAGCUGCAAUUUUAAUCUUUUAUUUCCUUGGCACUUUGAACAAAAUUAAAAAUUCAUUUUUUUCGUUUUAUAAAAGCUGUACAUACAUACUGUAAAUAAAAAACACAGAUAAGCAAAA